rnacentral:rRNA from 1 species
UGGGGAAUAUUGGACAAUGGGCGGAAGCCUGAUCCAGCCAUGCAGCGUGUGUGAAGAAGGCCUUUUGGUUGUAAAGCACUUUAAGCGAGGAGGAGGCUACUUGGAUUAAUACUCUAGGAUAGUGGACGUUACUCGCAGAAUAAGCACCGGCUAACUCUGUGCCAGCAGCCGCGGUAAUACAGAGGGUGCGAGCGUUAAUCGGAUUUACUGGGCGUAAAGCGUGCGUAGGCGGCUUCUUAAGUCGGAUGUGAAAUCCCUGAGCUUAACUUAGGAAUUGCAUUCGAUACUGGGAAACUAGAGUAUGGGAGAGGAUGGUAGAAUUCUAGGUGUAGCGGUGAAAUGCGUAGAGUUCUGGAGGAAUACCGAUGGCGAAGGCAGCCAUCUGGCCUAAUACUGACGCUGAGGUACGACAGCAUUGGGCGCAAACAGG